rnacentral:rRNA from 1 species
UCUUGGGUUAGAUGGAACGCGGGCGGCCGGCCUAACCCAUGCAAGUCGAACGGGUACCUGAAGAAGCCUGUUUUUUUUUUGGAGAGUGGCGGAUGGUAGAGUAUGUUCUGGGAAUCUCCCUGAGGGAGGGCGGACAACUACUGGAAACGGGAGCUAAUACUGCAUACCGUCGCAAGACCAACGAGGGGGACCUUGGGGCCUCUUGCCCAUCGGAUGUGCCCAGAUGGGAUUAUAUGAUAGGUGGGGUUCCGGUUCACUUGGGCGAGGAUCCCUAGCCCAUCAGAGAGGAUGUCCAUCCACACCGGAAGUGAGACACGGUCCACACUCGUACGGGAGGCAGCAGCGGAGUAUAUUGCACAAUAGCAGCAAGCGUGAUGCAGCCAUGCCGCGAGUCUGAAGAAGGCGUUCGGGUGGUAAAGUACUUUCAUCGGGGAAGAAGGGAGUAAAGUUAAUACCUUUAAUCAUGGACGUUCCCCGCAGAAGAACCCCCGGCUAAUUCGGUGCCACCACCCGCGGUAAUACGGAGGGUCCAAGCUUUACUCGGUAUUAUUGGGGAUAAAGCGCACGCAGGCCCUUGCUAACUCAGAUGAGAAAUCCCCGGCCCUCACCCCGGGAAUGUGUAUGGUGAUAUGUGGCAAGCUUGAGUGUGAUAGACGGGGGUAGAUUUCCGAGUGUGUAGCGUGUGAAAUGGGUGAGUAUAUGUGGAGGCACACCGGUGGCGAGGCGCGGCCCCUCUGCACCGAAGACGUGACGGUACAGCGUGAGAAAACGCUGUGGAGAACAACACAGAGAUUAGACACCCUGGUAGUCCACGCCGUAAACUAACUCG